rnacentral:rRNA from 1 species
UGGGGAAUAUUGGACAAUGGGCGAAAGCCUGAUCCAGCCAUGCCGCGUGUGUGAAGAAGGUCUUCGGAUUGUAAAGCACUUUAAGUUGGGAGGAAGGGCCAUUACCUAAUACGUGAUGGUUUUGACGUUACCGACAGAAUAAGCACCGGCUAACUCUGUGCCAGCAGCCGCGGUAAUACAGAGGGUGCAAGCGUUAAUCGGAAUUACUGGGCGUAAAGCGCGCGUAGGUGGUUUGUUAAGUUGGAUGUGAAAUCCCCGGGCUCAACCUGGGAACUGCAUUCAAAACUGACUGACUAGAGUAUGGUAGAGGGUGGUGGAAUUUCCUGUGUAGCGGUGAAAUGCGUAGAUAUAGGAAGGAACACCAGUGGCGAAGGCGACCACCUGGACUGAUACUGACACUGAGGUGCGAAAGCGUGGGGAGCAAACAGGAUUAGAUACCCUAGUAGUCCCUGAGCGGGCUGGCAAGGCGCAU